CCUCUCGGGGGUAAGCGGGCAGAACUUGCAAGUAUUGAUAGAGAGAUUCAGACUUAGUGUUGAUGGCUGAGAGUAUUUGUUAUGUUGUUCGUUCGCGAACUAGCUGAUUUGUACUUUUUGAUCURUUCAUGAUGCGUCGCAUUUCUCUUUAUCAUCGGGUUGCAUGCAACUGAGAUGGUAGUUUUAGGUGUUGAGGUACUGCGGACCUUGUUGUUUCGAGUCUUGAUUACCAACUACUUAUGCGGUUGUGUCAUGGCAUUGAGCAGGCUUUAAAGCGGUCAAAUAUAUUUACGAGCAGGGUAUAUGUUGUAUAUGGACGAGUAAUCGUAGUAUGUCACGUACGCUGCUUGUCGGUGAGAAUAAUUUGGCACUGUACAAGUAUUGCAAUCUAAAGCAUGCGUGGUCUGCCUGU
rnacentral:rRNA from 1 species